UACGGAGGGUGCAAGCGUUAUCCGGAUUUACUGGGUUUAAAGGGUGCGUAGGUGGGCAAUUAAGUCAGCGGUGAAAUCUCCGGGCUUAACCCGGAAAUUGCCAUUGAUACUAUUUGUCUUGAAUUAUCUGGAGGUGAGCGGAAUAUGUCAUGUAGCGGUGAAAUGCUUAGAUAUGACAUAGAACACCGAUUGCGAAGGCAGCUUGCUAAACGAUCAUUGACACUGAGGCACGAAAGCGUGGGGAUCAAACAGG
rnacentral:rRNA from 1 species